UAGCUCAGUCGGUAAAGAAUCUGCCUGCAAUGCAGGAGACCCAGGUUCGAUUCCUGG
rfam:Ovis aries breed Texel chromosome 7, whole genome shotgun sequence.